AUUGAACGCUGGCGGCAUGCCUUACACAUGCAAGUCGAACGGUAACGCGGGGCAACCUGGCGACGAGUGGCGAACGGGUGAGUAAUGCAUCGGAACGUGCCUGGUAGUGGGGGAUAACUGCUCGAAAGAGCAGCUAAUUCCGCAUACGACCUGAGGGUGAAAGGGGGGGAUCGCAAGACCUCUCGCUAUCAGAGCGGCCGAUGUCGGAUUAGCUAGUUGGUGGGGUAAAGGCCCACCAAGGCAACGAUCCGUAGCUGGUCUGAGAGGACGACCAGCCAAACGGGGACUGAGACACGGCCCAGACUCCUACGGGAGGCAGCAGUGGGGAAUUUUGGACAAUGGACGCAAGUCUGAUCCAGCCAUGCCGCGUGCGGGAAGAAGGCCUUCGGGUUGUAAACCGCUUUUGUCAGGGAAGAAAUCUUCUGGGCUAAUACCCUGGGAGGAUGACGGUACCUGAAGAAUAAGCACCGGCUAACUACGUGCCAGCCGCCGCGGUAAGAC
rnacentral:rRNA from 1 species